UACGAAGGGGGCUAGCGUUGCUCGGAAUUACUGGGCGUAAAGCGCACGUAGGCGGCUUUCUAAGUCGGGGGUGAAAUCCUGGAGCUCAACUCCAGAACUGCCUUCGAUACUGGAGAGCUCGAGUCCGGGAGAGGUGAGUGGAACUGCGAGUGUAGAGGUGAAAUUCGUAGAUAUUCGCAAGAACACCAGUGGCGAAGGCGGCUCACUGGCCCGGUACUGACGCUGAGGUACGAAAGCGUGGGGAGCAAACAGG
rnacentral:rRNA from 1 species